rnacentral:lncRNA from 1 species
AGAAUCCAAAUUUAGGAUGUUGGAAAGGAGGAAGGUUGGGGAGUGGAGGGCAGGGUUUCUUAUAGAAUGGUGGGAGUGGUUUAUAAAUUGGAAUUGGAGGUGGAAGUGGCUUUACUAUUGGAGGAAUGUAAAUUGGUGGCUUUGGCUUGUAGAUUGGAAUUGGAGGUGGAAGUGGCUUUACUAUUGGAGGGAUGUAAAUUGGUGGCUUUGGCUUGUAGAUUGGAACUGGUGGUGGUAGUGGCUUUACUACCGGGGGUAUGUAAACCGGUGGCUUUGGCUUGUAGGUUGGAACUGGUGGUGGUAGUGGCUUUAUUAUCGGAGGUAUGUAAAUCGGUGGCUUUGGCUUUGGUUUGUAGAUAGGAACUGGUGGUGGAAGAGGCUUUACUACCGGAGGUUUGUAAACUGGUGGCUUUGGCUUUGGUUUGUAGAUUGGAACUGGUGGUGGAAGCGGCUUUACUGGAGGCUUUGGCUUGUAAAUAGGGACAGGUGGAGGAAGUGGCUUUGGUUUGUAAAUGGGGACGGGUGGAGGAAGCGGCUUUUUGUAAAUGGGAACUGGGGGAGGAAGUGGCUUUGGUUUGUAAAUGGGGACGGGUGGAGGAAUCGGCUUUUUGUAAAUGGGAAUUGGGGGAGGAAGUGGCUUUGGUUUGUAGAUGGGGACGGGUGGAGGAAGCGGCUUUUUGUAAAUGGGAACUGGGGGAGGAAGUGGCUUUGGUUUGUAGAUGGGGACGGGUGGAGGAAGCGGCUUUUUGUAAAUGGGAACUGGGGG